rnacentral:rRNA from 1 species
AUUGAACGCUGGCGGAAUGCUUUACACAUGCAAGUCGAACGGUAGAGGGGGCAACCCCUCGAGAGUGGCGAACGGGUGAGUAAUAUAUCGGAACGUGCCCAGUCGUGGGGGAUAACGUAGCGAAAGUUACGCUAAUACCGCAUACGAUCUAAGGAUGAAAGCGGGGGAUCGCAAGAACGCGCGCGAUUGGAGCGGCAGAUAUCAGAUUAGGUAGUGGGUGGGGUAAAGGCUCACAAAGCCAACGAUCUGUAGCUGGUCUGAGAGGACGACCAGCCACACUGGAACUGAGACACGGUCCAGACUCCUACGGGAGGCAGCAGUGGGGAAUUUUGGACAAUGGACGCAAGUCUGAUCCAGCCAUUCCGCGUGCAGGAUGAAGGCCCUCGGGUUGUAAACUGCUUUUGUACGGAACGAAAAGGUCUCUCUUAAUACGGGGGGCUCAUGACGGCACCGUAAGAAUAAGCACCGGUUAACUACGUGCCAGCCGCCGCGGUAA